UACGGGGGGGGCAAGCGUUGUUCGGAAUUACUGGGCGUAAAGGGCUCGUAGGUUGCCAACUAAGUCAGACGUGAAAUCCCUCGGCUUAACCGGGGAACUGCGUCUGAUACUGGAUGGCUUGAGUUUGGGAGAGGGACGCGGAAUUCCAGGUGUAGCGGUGAAAUGCGUAGAUAUCUGGAGGAACACCGGUGGCGAAGGCGGCGUCCUGGACCAACACUGACACUGAGGAGCGAAAGCCAGGGGAGCAAACAGG
rnacentral:rRNA from 1 species